rnacentral:rRNA from 1 species
UACGUAGGUGGCAAGCGUUGUCCGGAUUUAUUGGGCGUAAAGAGCUCGUAGGCGGCUUGGCAAGUCGGGUGUGAAACCUCCAGGCUCAACCUGGAGACGCCACUCGAUACUGCUAUGGCUAGAGUCCGGUAGGGGACCACGGAAUUCCUGGUGUAGCGGUGAAAUGCGCAGAUAUCAGGAGGAACACCGGUGGCGAAGGCGGUGGUCUGGGCCGGCACUGACGCUGAGGAGCGAAAGCGUGGGUAGCAAACAGG